rnacentral:rRNA from 1 species
GUGAGGAAUAUUGGGCAAUGGGCUAACGCCUGACCCAGCAACGCCGCGUGGAGGAUGAAGGUUUUUGGAUUGUAAACUCCUUUUGUGGGGGAAGAGUGAGGACGGUACCCCAAGAAUAAGUCACGGCUAACUACGUGCCAGCAGCCGCGGUAAUACGUAGGUGACGAGCGUUAUCCGGAAUUAUUGGGCGUAAAGCGCCCGCAGGCGGCUGUUCAAGUCUGACGUGAAAUCGCUCGGCUUAACUGGGCGGGGUCGUUGGAAACUGAAUAGCUUGAGGCAAGGAGAGGGGCGUGGAAUUCCCGGUGUAGUGGUGGAAUGCGUAGAUAUCGGGAGGAACAUCAGUGGCGCAAGCGGCGCCCUGGCCUUAGCCUGACGCUCAGGGGCGAAAGCGUGGGGAGCGAACGGGAUUAGAAACCCCAGUAGUCC